AGGGAACGCGGGCGGCAGGCUUUACACAGGCAAGUCGAACGGCAGCGCGGGCUUCGGCCUGGCGGCGAGUGGCGAACGGGUGAGUAAUGCAUCGGAACGUGCCCAGUAGUGGGGGAUAGCCCGGCGAAAGCCGGAUUAAUACCGCAUACGACCUGAGGGUGAAAGCGGGGGACCGAAAGGCCUCGCGCUAUUGGAGCGGCCGAUGUCGGAUUAGCUAGUUGGUGGGGUAAAGGCUUACCAAGGCGACGAUCCGUAGCUGGUCUGAGAGGACGACCAGCCACACUGGGACUGAGACACGGCCCAGACUCCUACGGGAGGCAGCAGUGGGGAAUUUUGGACAAUGGGGGCAACCCUGAUCCAGCCAUGCCGCGUGCGGGAAGAAGGCCUUCGGGUUGUAACCCGCUUUUGUUCGGGAAGAAAUCCUCUGGGCUAAUACCCCGGGGGGAUGACGGUACCGGAAGAAUAAGCACCAACUCACUACGUC
rnacentral:rRNA from 1 species